AUAUCAAUAAGCGGAGGAAAAGAAACUAACAAGGAUUCCCCUAGUAACGGCGAGUGAAGCGGGAAUAGCUCAAAUUUGAAAUCUCAUGCUUUUAGUAUGCGAAUUGUAGUUUGAAGAAGUGUUUUCGGAGGUAGAUCAGGUUAAAGUCCCUUGGAACAGGGCAUCAUAGAGGGUGAGAAUCCCGUCUUUGACUUGAACCCUAUUUCUAUGUGAUACACUUUCAAAGAGUCAGGUUGUUUGGGAAUGCAGCCUAAAAUGGGUGGUAAAUACCAUCUAAAGCUAAAUAUUGGCGAGAGACCGAUAGCGCACAAGUA
rnacentral:rRNA from 1 species